rnacentral:rRNA from 1 species
UACGAAGGGGGCUAGCGUUGUUCGGAAUCACUGGGCGUAAAGCGCACGCAGGCGGAUCGUUAAGUCAGGGGUGAAAUCCCGAGGCUCAACCUCGGAACUGCCUUUGAUACUGGCGAUCUUCGAGUCCGGGAGAGGUGAGUGGAACUCCGAGUGUAGAGGUGAAUUCGUAGAUAUUCGGAAGAACACCAGUGGCGAAGGCGGCUCACUGGCCCGGUACUGACGCUCAGGUGCGAAAGCGUGGGGAGCAAACAGGGAGU